rnacentral:rRNA from 1 species
AGUGAACGCUGGCGGCAGGCCUAACACAUGCAAGUCGAGCGGCAGCGCGGGGGCAACCCUGGCGGCGAGCGGCGGACGGGUGAGGAAUUCGUCGGAAUCUGCCUUUUUGUGGGGGAUAACGUAGGGAAACUUACGCUAAUACCGCAUACGUCCUACGGGAGAAAGUGGGGGACCGCAAGGCCUCACGCAGAAAGAUGAGCCGACGACCGAUUAGCUAGUUGGUGGGGUAAAGGCCCACCAAGGCGACGAUCGGUAGCUGGUCUGAGAGGAUGAUCAGCCACACUGGGACUGAGACACGGCCCAGACUCCUACGGGAGGCAGCAGUGGGGAAUAUUGGACAAUGGGCGCAAGCCUGAUCCGGCCAUGCCGCGUGUGUGAAGAAGGCCUUCGGGUUGUAAAGCACUUUUGUCCGGAAAGAAAUCCCUGGAGCUAAUACCUUCGGGGGAUGACGGUACCGGAAGAAUAAGCACCGGCUAACUUCGUG